rnacentral:rRNA from 1 species
GAUGAACGUUGGCGGCGUGCCUAAUACAUGCAAGUCGAACGAAGACUGUAGUAAUACUGUCUUAGUGGCGAACGGGUGAGUAACGCGUGGGUGACCUGCCCCGAAGUGUGGGAUAACAGUUCGAAAGGAUUGCUAAUACUGCAUAAUAUCCAAGAGAUUAGACGCUUUUGGAUUAAAGGAGUAAUUCGCUUCGGGAGGGGCCCGCGUCCCAUCAGCUAGUUGGUAAGGUAAUGGCUUACCAAGGCGAUGACGGGUAGGGGACCUGAGAGGGUGGCCCCCCACAAUGGAACUGAAACACGGUCCAUACACCUACGGGUGGCAGCAGUAGGGAAUAUUAGUAAUGGGCGAAAGCCUGAACUAGCAACGCCGCGUGUGCGAAGAAGGCCUUCGGGUCGUAAGCACUUUUGUAGAGGAUGAGGAAGGACGGUACUCUCAGAAUAAGUCUCGGCUAACUACGUG